rnacentral:rRNA from 1 species
UACGUAGGGGGCAAGCGUUGUCCGGAUUUAUUGGGCGUAAAGAGCUCGUAGGUGGUUCGGUAAGUCGGAUGUGAAAUCUCCAGGCUCAACCUGGAGGGGUCAUUCGAUACUGCCGUGACUAGAGGUCGGUAGGGGAGUGUGGAAUUCCUGGUGUAGCGGUGAAAUGCGCAGAUAUCAGGAGGAACACCGGUGGCGAAGGCGGGUCUCUGGGCCGAUACUGACGCUGAGGAGCGAAAGCGUGGGGAGCGAACAGG